rnacentral:rRNA from 1 species
GACGAACGCUGGCGGCGUGCUUAACACAUGCAAGUCGAACGGAAAGGCCCUGCUUUUGUGGGGUGCUCGAGUGGCGAACGGGUGAGUAACACGUGAGUAACCUGCCCUUGACUUUGGGAUAACUUCAGGAAACUGGGGCUAAUACCGGAUAGGAGCUCCUGCUGCAUGGUGGGGGUUGGAAAGUUUCGGCGGUUGGGGAUGGACUCGCGGCUUAUCAGCUUGUUGGUGGGGUAGUGGCUUACCAAGGCUUUGACGGGUAGCCGGCCUGAGAGGGUGAACGGCCACAUUGGGACUGAGAUACGGCCCAGACUCCUACGGGAGGCAGCAGUGGGGAAUACUGCACAAUGGGCGGAAGCCUGAUGCAGCAACGCCGCGUGCGGGAUGACGGCCUUCGGGUUGUAAACCGCUUUCGCCUGUGACGAAGCGUGAGUGACGGUAAUGGGUAAAGAAGCACCGGCUAACUACGUG